rnacentral:tRNA from 1 species
CUCCCGUGGUCUAAUGGAUAGGGCAACCGACUGGGGAAGCUGACACCCUACGCCAUCCUGGCGGCGUGUAGUCGGUCGAUGAGGGUUCGAGUCCUUCCGGGAGCA